rfam:Ixodes scapularis strain Wikel colony gcontig_1108379520506, whole genome shotgun sequence.
GUCAUGAUUACCUCAGUUCGUAGAGAGCUCCACUGAAAAUGGAGAGGUCCCUGGUUCGAUACCAGGACGAGGCA